GAUGAACGCUGGCGGCGUGCCUAACACAUGCAAGUCGAGCGAUUUACUUCGGUCAAGCGCGGCGGACGGGUGAGUAACGCGUGGGUAACCUGCCCUGUACACACGGAUAACAUACCGAAAGGUAUGCUAAUACGAGAUAAUAUGCUUUUAUCGCAUGGUAGAAGUAUCAAAGCUUUUGCGGUACAGGAUGGACCCGCGUCUGAUUAGCUAGUUGGUGAGGUAACGGCUCACCAAGGCGACGAUCAGUAGCCGACCUGAGAGGGUGAUCGGCCACAUUGGAACUGAGACACGGUCCAAACUCCUACGGGAGGCAGCAGUGGGGAAUAUUGCACAAUGGGCGAAAGCCUGAUGCAGCAACGCCGCGUGAGCGAUGAAGGCCUUCGGGUCGUAAAGCUCUGUCCUCAAGGAAGAUAAUGACGGUACUUGAGGAGGAAGCCCCGGCUAACUACGUG
rnacentral:rRNA from 1 species